rnacentral:rRNA from 1 species
UACGGGGGGGGCAAGCGUUGUUCGGAAUUACUGGGCGUAAAGGGCUCGUAGGCGGCCAGCUAAGUCAGACGUGAAAUCCCUCGGCUUAACCGGGGAACUGCAUCUGAUACUGGAUGGCUUGAGUUCGGGAGAGGGAUGUGGAAUUCCAGGUGUAGCGGUGAAAUGCGUAGAUAUCUGGAGGAACACCGGUGGCGAAGGCGGCAUCCUGGACCGACACUGACGCUGAUGAGCGAAAGCCAGGGGAGCAAACGGG